rnacentral:lncRNA from 1 species
AUCAAAUUCUCAGAUACUCCUCAGAUUCAAAAUUUAGUCUCAAAUACUCCUGAGAAUUUGAUCAAAUUCUCAGAUACUCCUCAGAUUCAAAAUUUAGUCUCAAAUACUCUUCAAUGGUAGAAAGACAAAAUUACCCUUAAUGAGGGUUGAUUUCGGGUGAUAAGGGUUAAAUACAAUUAAAUCGGUAAGUGUUCAACGAAAAACACAAUAGCUCAGUGGUUGCGAGCUCCAUGCGGACGCGCGCGCCCCCAGAGUUCGAAUCCUUUUAUACGGGUUGUAACUGGUACAACUAGGAAAUAUUCGGGAAUAUUCUGGUACAUCUACGUUGUAGUACUACAACUAGGUGGUACAACUAGGAGGAGGUACAACUAGGUGGUACAACUAGAGAGGUACCAGUUGUACCACGUAUACCUAGUAAAUGGGUAGUUUCGUCCUUUCAUUAAAAGGAGGAGAGUAUGUGGAUUAGAGGAGAGUAUGUAGAUUAAUUCUUUGAUUCUGAGGAGCAAUUGAGAUUAAUCCCCUUGGAUGGAGUUUCACAAUUGUAGCAAAAAGCCAAUCCACACCUGCAAAAAUGUUAAAAGGUAAGAGCUUUGUAACACAGAGAAAACGAAAAAGACGGCGAAGAAGAUACCUGCACAUCAUGUAUAAGCAACCCUCAGAUUUUUCAAUGUAAAAUUUGCAAGAAGGACAUCUUUUCCACUUGUUACUCUCUGCCAUAUUCUUCAACAAUAUAUCACCUCGUUCUCUUUCGUUCUCGGCUAGCUUCUGAAAAUCUUGGCAAGUAAUCUCCGGAUGCCACUUAGUUCCACACUCUACACACACCAUUCUAUGGCAAUGAGGACACUCCGAUUCCGUCAUCUUCACUUCACUCUCGUCCAAGAAGAGCAAAGCAGAGCAAUCCUUAUAUGGACAGUAGAAUCUCUUUGAACCCAUAAUCACCGCCUCACAAAGAGCAUCUCCCCACCGAUCAAAGACUUCUCUUGGCAGGAUUUGUCGGCAUUUAUCGGGCCCGAGCUGCCCCGAGCAACCAGAAACAGGGCAUUUGAUUGAGAGGAUGUUGUCUUGUAACUUAGCAGCUAUAUAUUUUGAGACAUAAUCAUUACAUUAGGAAUGAGAGCAUCCAUUGAUUCGAAAAGAUUCAAUUUUGGUUUCCUUUCAACACAUAUCUCGCAGUCAAAGGAGCGUCUUCGUGAAGAGGACUGUCCCUUUUCUAUGGAGAUUGGUGUGAAACAGAGGACUCUAAGAUCAUCGUCUUCGUCGUUGUAUUGAUCAAGAUCUAUUAAGUUUGAGAAUUCGGAUUUGUAUGGAGUUUGAGGAGAGUGAAACCGACGAUAAAGGUGGCGAUCACGGUCGUAAUCCUCGACGGAGAUGGCGUCACGUUUGGUUGAACCAUAACUGGAGAGAGGUGUUGAGAAGAUGAAACGGUCGGAGUUGUUGUCGCCGUCGUCAUUGACGGUGGCUGCAUUCAUGGACUCUGUGGCCAUUUUUCUGAUUAGGGUUUUUAUGAUUUUUCGAUUUUCUUGCUUGUCUUGUUGGGUUGGUUUCUGAAGCGUCUCAUUUUUGGUGAUGCUAAAACCUAAACCUAGGACUGUCCCAAAACUGCUCCGAUCCGUAUUUAAAUUUUAAAGGGAAAUUAUGAGAUAUAUCAAUAUUGAUACAUAUAUACAUAUAUCCGUACUACUAAAAUCUAUACAUAUAGCCACGGCCUAGCCACAACGUGUCCGUGGCUAAAUAUAAGUAGCCACGAAAAAACCACGAACUAGCCAUAAAAUACUUUAAAAAACUUCCGUGGUUAAUUUGUAGCAAAUCUGUGGCAAAAUGCCACGAAAAAGCUACCGAUUUAAUCGUGACAAUAUACCUACAGACAUAGCCACAAAAUAUCCGUGUUAAAUAGCCACGACCAAAAAACGUGGUAACCUCGUGGCUAUCUUUCCUACGAAUAUGUCCGUGGCAAAACCGUGGCUAAUUUCGAAUAUAUUUGUUGUCUUAAGACAAUUCUGAUUAUGAAAAUUUACCGGUUGAUGAUUCUGAUGACGAGUAUGUAUCAGAAGAUGAUAUAGAAGAGCAGUGUGAUGAUUCUGAUUCCAACUCCGAUUAAGUUUUACAUUUAUAUAAUUAUGUCUAAUUGUUAAUUGUUGUUGUUUUCAAUAUAUAUGUCAUAUUUUAGGAAUAAUAAAUCUAUUUCCAAAAUAAAAUUAGAAUUGAAAAUUUAAAAUCUGUAUUUAAACUAAUAAAUUAUUUAAACCGAUAAAUUUUCAAAUUACUAAAUCUUAAAAUUCUGUACUUAAACUAAUAAACUAAUAAGUUAUCACAAUUAAGUACCAAAAAAAUAAGUUAUCACAAUUUGUUAAUAACAUUGGAGGGAGAUUUGGGCGGGUUAGGAAAAUUUGGGCCUUAAUAUUUUGGGUUUAUGGAGGGAGAUUAAAAUAUUCACAAGGGGGGAAACCUAAUUGUGGAUUUUAAUCUCUCUAGCCCCUUUGGGGAGAAUCAAUUUUUGGAAAACACCUCUUUAUUCUCAUUACCCCCUCUCCUUCCCAAUUUUUCCAUAAACCAACUUUACCCCUUAUCCCUUUAAUUCUACAUUUAAUUUAAUACCAACACAUUUUUUAUUCAACCAAUCACAAACUUUCUCUCUCUUCUCUCAUUAAAAAACAAACCUACCAAAUGUCUCACCUUUUAGACAUUAAACUUACGAGACUUUCAACAGCUCCGACGUUGCAGCUCCGACGUUGCAGCUCUGACGUUCGUCUUCUUCUUCUUCUUCUCCAUCUACCAUUGAAGCUGACCAUUAAAGCUUGCAUCUCCAAAGACAUAUUUCUUCUCUUCUUCUUCUUCUAUUCCCACCAUACUGUAAGGUAAAUAUACUUUUUCUUAGUGUAGUAUGAUUAAGUUGAAUUCGUAGCUUGAAUAGGGUUAUUUGUUGAAAUAUUUUAGGAUUGCAGAUUUGGGACAACUGAAACCACUAGGUACAACUAAGUAGAUUAUUUACGGAAACCCUAAGUUUGGUGCAACUGGGACAAAUGUGUACAACUAUGUUGAUAGUCUGCUACGAAAGUUGUGAAAUUAUAGGCCGUUUUUUCUCUCUUUCUUUUUCAGGGACAAUGAAAAGGAAUUCAGUCAUACGAUUUGCUUAUGACGGAUACUAUACAAGUAUCGGAGAAGAUGUACAUUGGAUUUCUAAUGGAGAAGAUGAAGAAGCAAAACAUGCAGUUGUAGACGUUUUGAUAUAGACAAGUAUCCAUAUGUGCAUGCGAUAGCGGCUACACUUACGGCAAACAAGGAUGCAGCUCCUGAGCUCCGGGCACAUGACUUGUGCUCAAAGUAUUAUUGGAUCGAAAUUUGGGUUUUGGCGUACACGAGGGCAAUUUAUCCGGUUCCCCAUAAUAGUCAAUGGGUUCUUCCUGAGGAGAUCAUGCAACUGUUUGCAUAUCCUCCGGAUUAUGAGAUAAAACAAGGAAGAAGACAAGAAACAAGAUUCUCUUCCGUUGGAGAGCAUAGAGGACGUAAGAAGAGGUCGCAUGGAGCGAGCGGUUUGGGCGAGUGGUUUACCAAUGAUGGUGACGUUGAUGGAGACAAUGCGGGUGACCAAGGUUGAUUUCUCAGUACUAUUUAUUAGGUUAAUUUAAGAAAUGAUGUUGUUUGUAUUGGUUUUGUUUGUGAAACUUAUAUGUUCUGUGUUGUACAACUAAGUUUUAGCAGGUACAACUAUGGUUAAUUUCCUUUUCGUAUCUGUGCAAAUUUUGUAAUGCCUUGGCCAAUUUUCAGAAUUUUAUAUAAUAUGAAAAUUUCCUUGUCAGUCUGGGUACAACUAAGUACCACAAGUACAACUAAGGUCUAAUGCCUUGGCCAAUUUUCAGAAUUUUAUAUAAUAUGAAAAUUUGAAACCAAAUUAAAAAAAAAACUUUAAAAAGGCAUACACGAUGGUAAUGAAACUACACAACAAGUUUUUAACAAAAAAUUUCAUAUUUUUAAAAAAAUACUGAAAUUCUUACUCAAAAUCCCACAUUCAUACACUAACAACCUUAUACUUUCGAGAGUUCACCUCUUGUGCCACUAAUCGAGAAUCGGUAAUCUCUUAUGCCACUAUUAUGUUUUAUCUUUAUUUUUGAAUUUCUUAAAAAUCGAAAAACUGAGUAAAUGACCAUAAAACCAAACGAAUUUCUCUUAUUUACGACCCAACCUAAAAUCCAUAUUAUUUACCCUAAUAUGUAAAAUUUCUCUAAGUUUUUCAGAUCGAAAACUGUAAAAACCUAAUCUCAUUCUUCCAUUCUCACUCGAAACUCAAACUACUCUCGAGAAAACGAAGAGUCCGACGAAUUCCGAUGAAUUCCGACACCACUCUCAUCGGAAAUCUUGCUUCUCCGGCGUAUCGUCGUUUGCGUGUACUCCGUCAUUCGUCUCCUCUGUCUCCUCCUCGGUGGUUUGUCUUUUCGUCUCCUCCGACUCCGUUCAGCGUGUCUUCGUCUCGUUCUUAUAUUGCUCGCGUGAAAGGUAGAGAUAACAGGAUAUAUGAAUCAACAGAAGGGUCUCGAGAAGGGGCUGCAAAUCCGGAUCCAACAGAAGCUUCGACGGACGCUUCAGUUCCAACAGAAGCUUCGACGGACGCCGCAGUUCCAAAAGAUGCUCCGACGGAUGCCGCUUAUCCAACAGAAGCUCCAAUGGAUGCCGCUGUAAUUGGUCCAACAGUGGAAUCCGCAGAAGCAGCCACCGAAUUAGUAGUUUUUUCGGUUCCGGAAUUGUCUGAUAAAGAAGAGAAAGAAGAAGUCGGUGAGCAUGAUAAAGAAGUCUGUGAGUUGUCAAUUGAUGGUCAGGGUUGUGAUAACGAGGAAGAAGAGAGAGAGUUGUUGAUUCUGAGGGUGAAGAUGUUGCUGGUGAUAAUGAGGAGGAAGAUGUUGCUGGUGUUGUGAAGGUAAGUAACAGUUUGUAUUUGUUGUAUAUGGUGUUAAAGGUAAGCAACAGACAUAGUUGUACUCAGUUGUAUGUGUUUGAAUAUGCAGAAUAUAGUUGAUGAUAUUGCUGUUGAGGAAGAGGAAGAGGAGAGGGUUAAUGAUGUUGCAGCUGAUACAGAUGAGGAUGAUGAUGAUGAGGAAUCCCAACCACUGCCGCCAGAGAGCAUGUACUUUAGUCCAACUGAGUACAACAAGGUAUGUAAGGUAGGUAGUAGGUGUAAAGUUGGCCAAACAGUGGCCAUGAUAGAGGCAUUUGAUGAGGAAGUUAGUUGGUUUAGGAAUCAUGCUCAGUUUAAGCAUAUAUUCCACAUGCCCAAGGAACCAAAUCACAUGAUUCAAGGCAUGUGGAUGCUUAUGCUUCGCACUGCUCGCACAGGUAUGGAGAAUGAGUGUUGGUUUGUUGUGAAUGGAGUGCCUAUAAGGUACUCCUUGAAAGAGCAUGCUUUGUUGACCGGGUUGGACUGCCAUGAGUACCCAAAGAAUCAUGAGAAGAAGGGUAGUUUGAGGUUUGUCAGGAGGAUGUUUGGGAGGACAGACCUAAUCAAAAUCAAAGAUGUAGAAAAGAAGUCGGCAUCUAUUAAGAGUGAGAAGUGUUUAGAUAGGAAGAAGUUGAUUAUUUUGUUGUUUUUAUGUGCGGUUGUGAAGGCUGAUUCUAAGGGUGAUGGGAACAUAGAGCAAUUCCUGUUAAGGAUUGUUGAUGAUGUUCAUGCUUGUGAGAUAUUCCCGUGGGGAAGGUAUUCUUUUGAGCAAUGUAUGACAAGGAUCCGGAGAAUGAUGAAAAACAUGAAAGGUGAGGUGAAACCAAAAGCACAGAGCAGCUUUUUUGGAUUCAUCACUCCUCUUGAGGUAAAAACUUGUGAAUAUUGUAAUGAGUUAGAGUGUUUAAGUUAUAGUAGUAAAACUGUGUUAUUGUGAAUGUGUAGAUUUUUGCAUUUGAGUGCAUACCACAGCUUGGAAGGCGAUUCAGAGAAGCUGUUCCCGCAGCUAAUGACUGUCCAAGAAUGUGCAAAUCUAAAUUCACUGACAGUUGCAUGAAGGGCUUUACCUUGGAUGAAAUAAACCAAGCCCUUGGUGAAAUUAAGGUUAGCUUUUGGUGCCUUUACUUCUCUUAGUAUGCAUAUUUAUUGAGAUUGAUGCUAUGUGUAUUUGACAGGAUAUCUCAAGCAUCUUGGAACCUGAUAUGGAUGAGAAAGAGAUGUUGUCUGGCCUUGUUGAGAAAGAUGUUGAUGAAGGGAUGGGAUUUAUUGAUCCAGUUGUUGAAGGUUGGAGAGAGCAGCUGAUCAGAAAAAAGAAUAAAAUCUGGUGGAAAAGUCUAUACCAUAUGGACUUGCAGGCUCGGGGUUUUGGUGAUGUUGUCCCUGAAGUGGCUGAGAGGCUUGGUGAUGUUAAAGAAAGUGAUGGUGAAGUCCCUGAGAGGCUUGGUGAUAUCCUCUCAUUACAGUCAGCUGUGGACAAAGGAUUUGCGAAGAUCAUGGAGAAGUUGUCUGAGAUGGAUAGCAAAGUGAGUAUGCUGGAUGGGAGAGUGAAAGACUUAGAGGGAUAUGUGUCAGUCCAGCUAGAGAAAGAGCGGUACAAUGAGUAUCAUCCAGGGACUUCAAGUGAUUUUGUGCCAACCUAUUGUACACCAACUGCUAAUCAACCAAUAGCGAGUCCGACAAAGGCUUUGGUCCUUCACAGUGGUUUCACAGACCCUAAGCCAAUCCAGAUUCAAGAAUUGAGUGAGUUUACAUUUUUGUAGUUUUUAUUGUAACAUACAUGUUCUAACAUUGGAGUUGUGUAGGUGAUGAAGGUGAUCAGGAGCAGCUGGCUAGGAAAGAGAAGGAGAACAAGAAGAAGAAAGCAGUGAGGCCGAAGCAUAGUGGCCCUACAAUCCAGACCGGGAAAAAGAGACAAAGGAAGGCUUCCAGGUUUCAGGCUGAAGAGUUUACAGCAGAGGGGAAGGGGAAGGGGAAGAAGCGGCAGAAGAAAUAGGUGAUCUUUAUGAGAGAUCACUCUUUAUGAGUAAUUGCUUUUGUGUGGGACAAAACUUAUAUUUUCUGAGUAUUUUGCGGUUAUCUUUUAUUAGGAUUCAAAACAUUGUACUAUCUUUUGGUAGUGUUGUGGUUUAGGUGCAUUUUUUGUAUUUGGGGUUUAGGAUGAUCCAAAAAUUAUAUUUUAAAAAAUUAUGCAUCUGGUCCAACUACUAACAAACGUGGGACAACUAUUAACACAAGUAGGACAACAGGAACAACUACUAGUAAUCCUGGGACAACUAUGUGAUGAACCAGGGACAACAGGGACAACUACUAACAAUACAGGGACAACUACUAUUAAGAACGAUGGACAACAGGGACAACUACUAACAAUACAGGGACAACUACUAAUAAUCCAGAGACAACUAUGUGGACAACCAGGGACAACUACUAAAUACAAUAUAUUUAAAUUUUAGUUGGACCAGUUGAACCAGUUGAACCAGGGACAACUACUAAAUACAAUAUAUUUAAAUUUUAGUUGGACCAGUUGAUCCAGGGACAACAACUAUUAAAAAUACUUAGUGAGUACAUAUAAGUCGGAGUUGUACCGGUUGAACCAAGUACAACUACCAUUACUGCAGGUACAACUACUAAUAAUACUUCAUGAAAACACAAUUCCAUAUCCAAAAUACAAAUUCAAAUAUUACAAAGAGUAGGUGGUAAUCAUACAAUAUUACCACCUUGAAAGUAACCCCCUAAGCCUCGCAAUCUCGACUUCUUUUGUGGCUAACCUCUCUUUAAGGUCAUCAAUUUCUUCACGCAUAAGACGAAGAGUUUCCCGGAUCGACUCCAAUGCAGGAUUUCCACCCCUCCCAUAUUCAAGAGAGGUUAACACGUCAUCUUUAUGUCUGUCAAAUAGGUGGUGUAUCUUGGACAGCUCCUCAGUUACCGCCCAAUCCCACCACUGAACUAGGUGAUCUCGAUUAUCCUUAUAUUCGUCUCCAUCCUAGGAAGAAUAUAAAAAGUUAAAACCAGCAAGUUGUACUUAGUUGUUCCAGAAUUGCAACUAAACCAUACCUUAAGCACUGGGCAUCUGUAUACGCGCUCUCCUUGGCGCUGUCCUGUUAGACAUCGCUCAAGUUUGACCAUCUCACCACAGAAACACCUCUCGGGAACACCAUAAUUGGCAUCUGCAUUACAUUCUCCAUUGUUGAUGCUUGCUACGGAUGUGGAGGGUUGGGAGUAACUAUGGGGCAUAUCUACGGUUUAGAAGAUGAGUAGAUCUGACCAUUCAAUCAAACAUAAAUCAAUUAAAUCUUAGUAAAUCCGAAUUAGUAGAAAGCAGAUCUAUGUGAGAGAAGUACCCAGAUUUCGCAAAAUUUGAAGAAAUCUGAAAACCCUAAUUUUUAGUGGUCUCGUGAAGAAGAGAGAAGAAGAAGAGAGAAAAGAAGAAGAAGAAGAAGUCGAGAUGUGAGAGAGAGAGAGAGAGAGUACUCUCCUUAUUAGAUGAGAAGACUAGUGUGAACACAUUUCUGUGGGACCGGUUUGAGUCAAAAACUAGUCAAAGACUAGUGUGAACACAUUUCUGUGGGACCCCCGAUAAAUAGAUUUUCUACAUAGUUGUCUUUAGAUGUUCAGUUGUCCUAAUUUCCUCACAGUUGAACUAUUUCUAAAUUUGUAAUUUUGUAGUUGAACCUUAAAAAAUACCAUAGAUAUCUAGUUGUUCACAUCAAUUUCCACAUUAUAUUGGUGUUUAAGAAGUUUUCAUAGAAUAAUUUGUCAGAAAACAUAGUUUCCAUACUUCUUCCAUCUUUAUAGAUGAUCUUGAACUAAUUGUUCCUUGUUACCUAAAGAGUGAUUUGUGUAAUUUUGGUUUUUGCUCAUAUUAAUUAUUGAUAAUGUUACAUAUCAUAUAUUAAAAGUAUUAAAUGUACUUUCAGAGUUUAAAAAUGUUUUAAUCACUUAUUAUGGUUUAAUUUAUGUAAUUUUGUAUUUUUUUGUAGUUUUAGUUGUUUCCAGUUGUAUCGGUUGAACCCAGAAACCAUUCUUGCUAAUAUUGUAAAGAAAUAAAAUAGUUUAUAUUACAAACUUAUAAAUAAUAAUCCAUAUAUUACAAAGUGAUAUUAGUCUUACAAAUAAAAAUACAAGUACAAAGUUGUUUAAGUUAUUCCGGUUGAACCCAAAUGGUUACACAGUUGUUCCAGUUGAACCAAAAUGGUCCAGUUGUUCCAGUUGAACCGGAUCGGUAAAGUAGUUGUACCGGUUGAACCAGGGAAUUAAUCAAGAUGCUUCUUGAUAGUAAGAUUUUAACUAAGAUCAAUUAUCCUUAAAUCACUAUCAUGUCAUUGUAGUAUUUAAGGUGUCAAUCCAAAUGGGUGUGAUGCUAGCAAUCAAGAUGCAAUCAGAUUUUACAGAGUCAAGCUAAGCAAUAACAGGUUUUGAUGUUGUUAACAAUCCUAAGUGAUCAUGCAAAAACAGAAAUUAUAACAGAAAUAUCUAAUAUACUCGACCAACACAGCCUGAUGCCAAGCACUGGGUGUUGUCGAGUAUCAGGUCGAGUAACAGCAGAAAGUGCAAUAAAACUACUCUACCACACAGUCCGUUUGCCAGACACUGGAUGUGGUCGAGUAACAGGUCGAGUACCAAAUGGAAACUGCAGUAAAACUACUCUACCACACAGUUCGUUUCCAAACCGCUGGGUGUGGUCGAGUACUUCAAGUGAAAUAAGUAAAAAUGCAAAAACUAAGCAACAAGUAACGAGAUCAAGCAAUCAAUAGCGAUGUGAACAAAGAAAUCAAUUGGAAGAGAAAUUCCCGAGGAUGGGGUAAUCGAGUAGUGAAGUCUCCUUAAUCUAACAGGUGGUUAACAUGCUCAACAAACUAUCCCUAGACAACAAGUUCAAUAGCCAAAUCAAAGUGCUACCGCAACAGAGAUCCUCAAGCAAAGCUAGUCCCAGACUCAAUCACCAUUGACGAGAGCUAACCUAACAGGCAUUACGAAACAACAAGUCUAAGCCAAAACGCUCCCUGUAACCAAUACCUUGGUACAGAGCCACGAAUCUCUGGAAUUAGUGGUUCAGACAUUUCAUCGAACACCUUUUGGGUGCGGAAAUGUCUGGGCUCAGAUUCCAGUUGAUCAGAAAGCAAUCAGCAUUAAGAACAACUAAUCCAGAAGGGAUCUACCAAUCAAACUCAACCACCUAGCAGAUCAAGGAUUCUAAACUACUCUAACCCAUCCUCAAGAACCCUAAUCACUACUCAAAACUCAUGAACAUGAACAUAAACCCAGAAAUGCAUAAAAACUUCAUACUAGCAAGAUCUCAACAAGAUGAACAACUUUGUAGAAGAAAUCAAAAGCAAAUACUCAAUAGAUUAAGAGAAAUCUGGAUUACAAAUAUGAAGAAAGCACUAAUUGUUCUGCAGAAAAAGACUUAGUCUCAAAAUUAUGAGAAACAACCUAUUUAUAGCAAAUACUAGGAAACCCUAAAUCACAAGACGACAAAGUAUUAAGGCGGUUUACGGAGACAUUCGGCUUUGUGCAAUCGAGUGAAGAAGUCGAGCAAAGCUGGCUCCUUUGCGGUUUCUUGAUCUGGUCGUGAUGCAAUCGAGUACCUAGGUCGAGUGGUAAGUCGAGUAAUGCUUCAUCCUCUUCUCUUCCUUAUGCUCAGUGUCUGGUUGAGUUGGGAUCUGAGAAGACUUUGAAGCUUGUGAUUAAGUGGCUGUGGGGGGGGUGGAGAUCGAGCAUCCAGUCGAGUGGCUGAAGAAGAUGGUGCUCGACCACGAGGUCGAGUGGUAGGUCGAGUUGGUGAAGGAGACGGUACUCGACCACGAGGUCGAGUGGUCAGUCGAGUGGUCAUCUGAAGACGAGGUCGAGUGGUGAUCUGAAGAGUCUGCUGGUGAUGCUCGACCGCGCAAUCCACUUGGUGAUGAGGAGAUGUGGUCGAGUGAUCUUGAGAGGCUGGCUGCUGAGAGUGCUCGACUGUGCAGGUCGAGUGAUACUGUUGGUUUUGCUCUGCUUCUCCCAAUCUGCUCGCCAACAGCUCCAAAUCACCUGAAAACACUCAAAUAUGCAACAUGCAUGCAAAUCUAUCCUAAACAUGUAAAGUGAUGACAAGUGAUGAGAAAUGGUAUGAAACAAUGACAAAAUGAUGAUAAAGUGAUGCUAAAUGGAUGCUUAAAACAUGUGAAAUAUACACAUAUCAACUCCCCCAAACUUAUUCUUUGCUUGCCCUCAAGCAAACAAUUAAGAACAAGCUGGAGGAGAGGUUUGAAAGCGGGGACUCGGAACCAAAGCAUGCAGACAAAGCAAAUGAACUCAAUGUCCAAGUUAGUAAUUGUGGAAUGCUUAGAGACCAAACUCUACUUAAAAACUUUCCAUUCUGACUCAUGUGGCACUACAAACAACGUCCUGUAAUAUGCCAAUGCCCAAGUAUCAAUCAAAUAAAAGACGGAGCAAAGUCCAUAUAUGCUUACAUCUGCAUUUCUCCCUUCCUUGCGGGCUAGGAACCUUGCUGCGGCAAUGGCAUGGACACACGGGUACUUGUCUAUAUCAAAUGUCUUGCAAGAACAAGUUUUCAUUUUCAAAUCCACCAAAAAGCUGACCGACAUCCCAUCAAUGACGUUGUAUUCUUGUCUAUAACUGUUAAGCUCAACAACUUUUAACUUCGCAGCAACUGGACAUCGAGCAUGCAAGAUGUUCUCCACAAAAGGCACAACCUGUGAUGUGCUCGAUGCAUUACCUGAAUCUUGCCUAUGGUUGUUAAACCAUUCAGAGAACUUCUCAACCAUGGCAUCAAUCAUAGGUAAGAGGUCAUACUUCCUCGCUUUCUUAAACACAGCGUUCAUGGACUCCGCAGCAUUGCUAGUGUCUAUGUUGUACUUGUCUCCUUGGUAAUGGUACCUAGACCACUGCUCUCUAUCUAUGGCUUNNNNNNNNNNNNNNNNNNNNNNNNNNNNNNNNNNNNNNNNNNNNNNNNNNNNNNNNNNNNNNNNNNNNNNNNNNNNNNNNNNNNNNNNNNNNNNNNNNNNUUUUGACGUAAUCGACAUGCCUACGUAUCUGUUCUCUGUUUUCCAUAUUCUGUUAAAGUAUUUAUUAUUUCAUGUAUAUAUUUUCUAAUUAGGAACAGUUUUAGCAAUAAAUUCUAAAACACAUACCUAAAUAAAUGAUUAGGAAUAUAAGACAUACCACGACAUAUCUUAUGCACCAUGUUCGGUGAUUGAAUUUUAUAUAUUCGUAAAAUAAAAAAUAUAAUUAUUGUUUUUAAAAUUUAACUCACAUUUAUUUAAAUUUAUGGUCAUAUGACCUAAAAACCAAGAUACUUAUUCAAUGAUGAUAUUGUAAAACUAAAUAUGAAAAGAUUAAAUGUAAAAAAAUGAAAGACAAGUUUGUGAAUAAAAUAAUAAUGGAUGAAAAUUUGAUAUUUACUAUUUUGACUCUCUUUUCUAUUAUAAUUUUUGAAUGUGAAAAAUUAGUCAAUUUAAUUCAUCAAUUUAUAUUAUGUAUAUUAUGUAUAUUUUACAAUUUCAAUUUUUAAAGAUUGAGCAAGUUUUAAGAUUUUUCAAUAUAAGUGUGCAACACACUUCGCAUAUUUUUACAGUGUUUGCUAAUUUAAAACGUAAUAACAAUCAUCCAUUGAAAUUCUAAUUUUAAUUUUUCUGGAAUCGUGCUUUUAUAGCGCUUCUAAAUUCAUGUUGUUUCUUGAAAGGUCAUUACACCUUCAAGCAAGCCUUUUUGCAAUCUAAUUAAAAUUGUUAUAAAUUAUUGUUAUGUAAAACUGGGAAAAACAAAGUGACUCGUUUAUAAUGCUAUUAUUAUAUCGUUGAAAAUUUUGGAUACAAAUCGUAAACCUAAUCUUAUUUUUCAACUAAAAAAAAAGAAAAAAAAAAGGAAUCGUUAAGGUGAGGGGUAAUUAAAUUCUACUUUUUGGUAGGAGGAAGUGCGCCAACAGUUUUUGAACAUUGUUCCUUUAGCAUAGGAGGAAAAAAUGGAUUGAAUGGAAGUUGUGGAAUGCAAUUGGUUUCAGCUUCCAAAAUUGCUUUGCAACAAGCAGGGCCUAUGUUUCCAAACUUUCCAAUGAGUAUAGAUUGCGAAAACUCUGCGAUACACCCUGGAAUAUUCAUAAAAUAUGUCAAACAUUUUGUUAUAUCAGGCAAUCCUGGUACACCGGGACUCGGUAGGAAUGGAAAUGGAAAAGGAAACGGUGCCGGAAAUUGUGGUAAUUGAGCAUUUGCAGACAGUGCAAUGCAUAAAACCGCUAAGAGAAAAAACACGUUUUUGAAAGCCAUGAUGAAAGAAAAAAGGAUGUUUGAAAUAUUCAAAUAUAUGAUUCUUUAUCGUGUUUGCUGUUGAGUGAUGAACAAUACUAAGAUCAGUUGUUAUUUAUAGGGGAAGAAAUGAGCUAUGGUGUUACUAAUUGUAUUUGUCUCCAUAAAACGUCUUUCAAAGUUUUAUUAGAUAAUCAAUAAGCUUGCAGUUUCUUAUUUUCUUAUUGAAUGAGAAGUUACUAAAAUUAAAAGAGAGUCCACAGCCACCUUGAUGAGACGAUUGACAUUAAUAGGAAAAUAUUAACUACUUAGACUAUUGAUGAGAGGACAAAGGAGAUGAUAUAUAUGGUAAGACACAAUUAGAAAACCCAGUUUAGGGGUUUCAACUCUAUUAAAACCAUCUUAAAAAAUAUGACCUUUAUCUUUAAUAUAACAAAAAAUCCAAUAUUGUUAAGGGUUUCGAGGUNNNNNNNNNNNNNNNNNNNNNNNNNNNNNNNNNNNNNNNNNNNNNNNNNNNNNNNNNNNNNNNNNNNNNNNNNNNNNNNNNNNNNNNNNNNNNNNNNNNNAAUCUUGAGUCUGACAGGCUUAGCGAGAAAAACCAGACUUUUAUGAAUAUAUAUAUAUAUAUAUAUCGAGCCCGCUAUUUUUAGGGCUUUUGACGUAAUCGACAUGCCUACGUAUAUGUUCUCUCUUUUCCAUAUUCUGUUAAAGUAUUUAAUAUUUCAUGUAUAUAUUUUCUAAUUAGGAACAGUUUUAGCAAUAAAUUCUAAAACACAUACCUAAAUAAAUGAUUAGGAAUAUAAGACAUACCACGACAUAUCUUAUGCACCAUGUUCGGUGAUUGAAUUUUAUAUAUUCGUAAAAUAAAAAAUAUAAUUAUUGUUUUUAAAAUUUAACUCACAUUUAUUUAAAUUUAUGGUCAUAUGACCUAAAAAACAAGAUACUUAUUCAAUGAUGAUAUUGUAAAACUAAAUAUGAAAAGAUUAAAUGUAAAAAAAUGAAAGACAAGUUUGUGAAUAAAAUAAUAAUGGAUGAAAAUUUGAUAUUUACUAUUUUGACUCUCUUUUCUAUUAUAAUUUUUGAAUGUGAAAAAUUAGUGAAUUUAAUUCAUCAAUUUAUAUUAUGUAUAUUUACAAUUUCAAUUUUUAAAGAUUGAGCAAGUUUUAAGAUUUUUCAAUAUAAGUGUGCAACACACUUCGCAUAUUUUUACAGUGUUUGCUAAUUUAAAACGUAAUAACAAUCAUCCAUUGGAAUUCUAAUUUUAAUUUUUCUGGAAUCGUGCUUUUAUAGCGCUUCUAAAUUCAUGUUGUUUUGAUAUCUCAGUAUUUUACCUCUUUUUAGCACACAUUUCUUAUGCAUUUAGCUUAGUUUCCUCUCUGUUUCACUGCAUUAAUAGUCCUUUUUCAUAAGAUUUUCAUCACUUAGUACGAUUUGCAUUGCAUGGCAUAGCAUGUUGCAUAUUGGAUGAGUUUUAGGUACUUUGGAGCUUAUUUGGGACUUAAUGGAGCAAGGAGGAACUAACACGACCUUGGGGCUAGACUUGGGAUCGAAUUGGAGAGGAUUGAAGUCGUUCAAGAUGACCCGGGAGCAGACUCGACGUCAUGGCUCGAUGACACGUCGAGUAGGACGCCAAGAAGCCGCCUGGGAGCAGACUCGACCAGACGGACUCGACGACACGUCGAGUAGGACGCCAAGAAGCAGCCUGGGAGCAGACUCGACGUGGCAGGCUCGACGACACGUCGAGAUGGACAUCAAGGCGCCACCUUUGAGAAUCACAUGGUCUCGACGUGGCAGGCUCGACGACACGUCGAGUUGGCCUCCACCGACUCUCUAUUUUGUCCUGUAGCCAAUUAGGGCAACCUAGUAUUUCCUAUAAAUAGGGGUACAUGCUAUUGUCCAGGAUAUAUUCCUUUUACCCAGCAGAUAUUCCUUUGUUCUCUCAUAAACCCUAGUUUUUGUAAUCGUUUUUCCUGUUGAUCCUUUGAGUUUUUGCAUUUCUUUUCUUCAUCAAAGUUGUAGAUCUGUCUCUUAUCUAUAACAUACUUGCUUUUCAAUGAUUUCUGGGUUUGAAAUGUUUUCUGGGUUUUUAUGCAUGAUGUUCUUCAGUGUUCUUGAGUAGUGGAUUAGGGUUCUUGAGGAUGGGUUAGAUUAGGUGUGGAAUCCUUAGUAUAUUUAGGUGGUUAAGUGUAGAAUUGCUUGAUUUCCCUUCUGGUUUAGUAGAUCUUAAUGCUAUUUCCUCUCUGAUCAAUUGGAAGUUGAUCUCAGACAUUUCCACACUCAAAAGGUGUUUGAUGAAAUGUCUGAACCAACUAUUCCAGAGAUUUGCAUACUCUAGCCCAAGAGAUUGGAUGUUUAGAAUGCUUAUUGACUUUAUUAGAUUGAAUCAUAAUGCCUGAUAGGUUAUAUUUCUUCAAUGAGAAUUGAGUAUGAAAGUGAUUUAGCUUGAGAAUCUCUGUCACGAGAGUGGAUUGAUUUGUAUUCGAAUCUAUUGUCUAGGGAUAGCUUGAUUGAGUUUGUUAACCACCUAGGUAGACUAAGGAGACUGCCAUAAUCGAUUACCCCAUUCCUCAGGACCUUUUAUCUCAAUUGAUUGUUUACAUCUUGCUUCUGUUAGUCUUUGUGUUCUACUCGACCUGUUAGGCCUAGAGCGCUUCUCUGCAUUGUUAGGUUGUUAGUUUAUUUUCCAAAGCUUUUGCAUGAUAGUCUCUGGUCUUUAGUUUACUUCUUGUCCUUGUUUACUUGCUGUUUAGUUCUCUUUUUAUGCUUUUAAAUCCAGUAUUUGCAUGUUAAAUUGGUUGCUUAGGAUCAAUAGAAACACACAAAACCUUUUCACAAUUGGCUUGACUUAUUUGCUUUCUGUUUCAUAUCUUGAAUGCUUGCAGUCACACUGAGAUUGGAUUGAUAACCUAAUAUACUACAAUGGCAUGUGUAUUAGGGAUUGAUACCUGUUAGAGAGCAAAAUCUUACUAUCAAUUUGGCGCCGUUGCCAGUCUUGUGUUGCAUUGUUCCAUUUAAGAUUUCAGAAACGUUUAAGAUCAAGUUCUUUCUUUACCUUGGUUACUAACUCUUCAUUUCAUCUGCUUGUUUUUGUGCUCCAGGUACCAUCUCGACCUCACGUCGAGACUGCCACAUCGAGUCUGACCACCCUGCAUUGUUAGGUACCAUCUCGACCUCACGUCGAGACUGCACAUCGAGUCUGACCACUCUGCAUGCAAACUCGAUCUAAAGGCUCCAACAACCUCAUCAGCUAUAAAGACAACAUCGAUCGGUUAGCUCGUGAGUUAAGAGAAGGUAGAGCCCGAGACAACUGUGAACCGCACAAUCCAGUAGCCAUGGAACCACAAGAUCAAGAUAAUCAAGGAGUUGGUAUACCACGGAACAUUGGUGAUGGUGAUGCACCACGCAACCAUCAACAGAGACAGGGCAUCGUUCCACCUCCUGUCCAGAACAACAAUUUCGAGAUCAAGAGUGGAUUGAUCUCAAUGAUUCAAGGUAACAAGUUUCAUGGGUUGCCUCUGGAAGACCCCUUGGAUCACUUGGAUAAUUUUGAUAGGCUCUGCAGCCUCACCAAGAUCAAUGGUGUUAGUGAAGACAGCUUCAAGCUGCGUCUGUUUCCCUUCUCGCUGGGAGACAAAGCACACCACUGGGAGAAGACACUACCUGCUGGCUCCAUCACAUCUUGGGAUGAUUGCAAGAAGGCAUUCUUAACAAAGUUCUUCUCCAAUUCAAGAACUGCACGUCUACGAAAUGAAAUCUCCAGUUUUACACAAAACCAGUCGGAAUCCAUUUGUGAGGCCUGGGAGAGAUUCAAAGGCUACACUAUACAGUGUCCACACCAUGGUUUCAAGAAGGCUUCACUACUCAGCACACUCUACAGGGGAGUUUUGCCCAAGAUCAGAAUGUUGCUAGACACUGCCUCUAAUGGGAAUUUCUUGAAUAAGGAUGUUGAGGAAGGCUGGGAAUUGAUAGAGAACUUAGCUCUAUCUGAUGGUAACUAUAACGAGGAAUUUGAUCGCUCCAACAGAGGUAAUGGAGAUCCGGAUGCAAAGCAUACUAAGGAGAUGGUUCAGGCUCUCAACGACAAGCUGGAUAAAUUUCUGCUUACUAACCAGAAACCAGUCCACUAUAUCACUGAAGAAGAGCACUAUCAAAUCCAAGAGGGGGAGAACACUCAGGCUGCAGAAGUCAGCUACGUUCAGAACCAAGGUGGCUACAACAAGGGCUACAACCCCUACAUGCCUGCUCAUCCUAAUCUAUCUUACCGGAGCACGAAUGUUGCAAACCCUCAAGAUCAGGUUUACCCUCAGCAACAACAGAACCAGUCCAAGCCAUUCAUACCAUACAAUCAAGGCUUUGUCCCAAAGCAGCAGUUUAGUGACGGUUAUCAACAAUAUAAUCCACCACCAGGUUUUGCACAGCAACCCCAGCCAGCUCCACCUGCACAAGAUCAAGACAUGAAGCAAAUGCUUCAGCAGAUUCUACACGGCCAAGUAGCUAGUGAUAAGAAGAUGGCUGAGAUUCAAAACAAGAUUGAGGCUCUAAACUCCAAGGUGAAGUACAUGGAAAGCCAAGCUGCUUCUACUUCUGCACCUACACACCCCGGACAACUACCCGGGAAAGCUAUUCAGAAUCCAAAGGAGUACGGUCAUGUUAAUGCUAUUCACCUUCGCAGUGGUCGAGAGCUGCAAACUCGACCUAGCAUAGCUCCUGUCACUGAGGACAGUGAGAUUCAAGAGGGGGAGGAUUUCAUUCAGCAUGAAACUCAAGUCGAUGACACCACUAAGCUCGACCAAGAUGCUGUACCUCGUGAUCAAGUCCAGAGCCCCCAGAUCAAAGAACCAGUUGUUGAUAAGAGUAAGAAGAAAGCUUUCGUUCCACCACCCUACAAGCCCAAAAUACCAUUCCCAGGAAGAUUCAAGAGGGAUAUCAUUGAGAAGUACAGAGCCAUGUUUGCUAAACACAUCAAGAAGAUUGAAUUGAGGAUGCCUCUCAUUGAUGCUUUCAUGCUGAUUCCGGAUUCUCACAAGUACUUCAAAGACAUGGUAAUGGAGAGAAUUAAGGAAGUGCAAGGGAUGGAGAGUCAUGAGUGCAGUGAAAUCAUCCAAACGAAGAUUAUUCCUAAGAAAUUAGGAGAUCCUGGUUC